rnacentral:rRNA from 1 species
UACGUAGGGUCCGAGCGUUGUCCGGAAUUAUUGGGCGUAAAGGGCUCGUAGGCGGUCUGUCGCGUCGGGAGUGAAAACUUACAGCUCAACUGUGAGCGUGCUUCCGAUACGGGCAGACUUGAGGUAUUCAGGGGAGAACGGAAUUCCUGGUGUAGCGGUGAAAUGCGCAGAUAUCAGGAGGAACACCGGUGGCGAAGGCGGUUCUCUGGGAAUAUCCUGACGCUGAGGAGCGAAAGUGUGGGGAGCGAACAGG